GGAUGAUAUAGUAUUUCCAGCUUUGGAAUCAAAAGAGACGCUUCAUAAUGUUAGCCAUUCUUACACCUUGGACCACAAACAGGAAGAAAAGCUAUUCGAGGAUAUAUCAUCUGCACUUGAUGAGCUUUCUCAGCUCCGUGAAAACUUGAAUGGUGGGAGUUCAGUUAAAGGUCCGUGUAGAAACUCUGGUGCUUGUGACUUACAUGAAUAUUCAAGAAAAUACAAUGAGCUGGCAACUAAAGUUCAAGCCAUGUGCAAAUCGAUAAAAGUAACCCUGGAUCAACAUGUUAUACGGGAGGAAGUUGAGCUAUGGCCGCUAUUUGACCGGCAUUUUAGCAUUGAAGAACAAGACAAACUAGUUGGUAGGAUAAUAGGUACA
rnacentral:misc_RNA from 1 species